ensembl:lncRNA
CCAGACAGCAUGGGGCUUGUGGCUUUGUGGCUUGAGCUUCUGGCUCUGAAAGGAAAACCUGGGAACCCAGGACCCAGGUCCCUGCAGCCACUGGGGCACUUCAGCACAGCCUGGCUACCUGUCACCCGGACAGCGGCUGAGAUGGGAUUUGGGUUCACACCCACAGCUCAGGAAAAACAAAUCUGGGUGUGGACGCGGAUUGGGACAUCGUGAUGAUCCAGGCAGCAGAAUUUCUCCAGACACCACCCAACCGGAGAGCAAGAUGGGAUGCAGCCCAACUGCAGGUCUAAACCCUACUUAUCGAUGUGCAGCUGAAAGACCACCUCCUCCAGGAAGUCCCCUGGAUUGCCCUGCUUGACAAGAGCUCUCUUGCGUCUGAGUUCCCACGGCCCGUCCUCGCCUCUUUUGAGCCACUUGCCACGGUGCACUCUGGUUACUUGGUGUUGUGUGUUGACUCGCGUCCCCCUCUUGAAAAGAUGUGUUGAAAUCCUAAGACCUGGUUCCUGUGAAUGUGACCUUAUUUGGGGUCUUCACGGAUGUGACUAGGUCAGAGGAGGUCACAGUCAGUUACCGUGGGUCCCGAACCCAUAGGCCCAGUGUCUUUACAGAGACACAGAGAUAGACACACAGGGUGAACGCCGUGUGACAAGAGAGGCCGAGACUGGAGUGAUGCAGCUGGAAGCCGAGGGAUGCUCAGGAUGGAGGCCACCCCCAGAGGCCAGGAGGAGGCAGGGAAGGCUCCACCCAGCAUCUCGGAGGAGGCCGGCUGACCCGGGAUCUCAGCCUUCUGGCCUCCAGACGGCGCGAGGACAGACUUCCGUGGUUUUAACCCACUCGGCUCGUGGUACCUUCUUCUAGCCGUCCUACGACACCCAUCCAUCGGGGUUCAGCCUCCCUUCCUCCUGGAGAAGGUUCCCCACUCCACACCACGUCUGGCUCAGUAUCGAUGCUCAGGAAAUACUUCCUGAGGCGUGAACAGCUGCAUGAGGACUAUCCACAUCUGGCUGGUUUUCGGUCCCCAAAUUGCACAGCAGGGACGGAGGCACCGUCCCACCUCACGUCCCUGUGGCCUCCAGUCUGGAUCCCCGCGGCAGACCCCGCCCUGGUCUCCUCACCUCCCCUCUGGUCUUCCGGCCGCUUCCUCCAGCUCUGCUGAACUCUUGAGCCUUUCUGCGCUGGUUGGGCUUGCCAGCCUCUGGGCCUUUGCCCGUGCUGUGCCCUUGACCUGAGCCCUCGGCCCCCUUGUCCUUCACGCCUGGACUCCAGCGGCUCCAGCGGGCUGCCUGGACACCGCCCAGCCUCUUCCCGGAGCUCUGGUUCCUCCCCUGCUCGUGCUCUCCUGGCACCUCUGCGUAUUCUGUCCCCGGGACAGAGCCUGUCAACCUGGAUUACAGUCAUUUGUGUCCCCUCUGUCCGCCCUGUGGCCUCUCAGUAUCUUGGGCUGAAAGGCCCUUUAUUUCUCAUCUCGUGUCGCGGUGCCUCCAGCAGGGGAGGCGCCUGGAUGCCUGUGACACAAGCGAGGGGAUGAAUCGGACUGAGCGCGAGGAGCAGCGAGUGGUCCGCCCUACCUUAGGGGGCGGGCAGUGGUUUUCGCAUCUGCUGGCUCCCUUCCAGGACGCGGGGGCCCGAAGAACGAGGAGGCUGGAGGGACACUGACGAGCAGAGCCUGAGGGGGCUGUCCAGUGGCUUCCUGGUCUGCCCUUUGCAGGUCUGAGCCGAAGGACCCAAGAGAGGAGGAAGGAAGAAGCUUGUCCAGGUCACACAGUACGUGGGGGCGCCUCCCCCCGCAGCCCCAAGAUCUGGCUAGUGUCCCCGGUCCGUUUGCUCAACGAGGCUCUGGAGCCUGGGAGGCCAGAACUGGGGGUGUGGUGGGGAAAGGAGGCGGGAGAGGAGACCGCGCCCCCGGGGAGAAGAUGACAACCUCCACUUCCAGCACAGCCCUGUGUGCCAGGCCCUGGCCCGCUGCUCUGACCCACCACCCCGAAUGCCCAGCACAGCCCCGGGGGGCAGGUGCCGUUGACAGAUGAAGGAGCUGAGGUCCAGCAGCCCCAGGUCCCACAGCCGGUAGAGCUGCCAUUUGACCCCAAGCCCUCCCAGCCCAAAGGCUGUGAGCUUUCUACUACAUCAGGAUGCCUCUUUCAUGAAACGCAGCAGCAUCUGGGUCCGGUCUUGGCCUCAGCGGUGGCCAGUCCAAAAGGGCAGCAAACCUGAUGUUUUCUCAGGUACCCAGAGAACAUCUUGUAGUUUGUGUUUUUCAACGUGGACGGGAAACCUCUGGGUCCCCAGGCCCUUGAAGAAGUUCCUUUUCCCAGUGGAGCAGUUACGGCAAGAGGAAGGAGCACAGAGACCAGGCAGGGGGCUCAGAUGCAGAGGAUUCCAUCCACCUUGUGAUGGCGCUAACACAAGAGGCCAAAGGCCACAUUAAUAGAGGUGGAGUGUCGAGGAGGAGAGAGGUGAUUACUCUGUCAGGUGUUGCAGGGGUCAAACAACAGUCUGAGCAGAGUCCACUCCUGGGACCUCACAUGGAGAGAGAUGUGGCCUGGUGAGGGGGCUGGGAAGUUUUAGCCCAGAGAAGACACAGCAGGAAACGAGGACUGUCAUCAAUACCUCAAGAGCUCUCCAGUGGAUGAGCAAUUAGACAGACUCCUUCUGGUUCUAAGAGCUGGGCAAGGACCAGCAGCUGGAGGGCACAGGAAGACAGAUUUCACAACUCUCCUCUCAAGGCACCAGGGGGCCCUCGGGGAGUAAGGCCUCCGUCCCAGAAGUCAUUCAACUGAGAUGAUAAAAAGGCUCUGCCAGCAAAGCUUCCUGGACCUGGAACACAGGCCCCGGUUGUGUUCAGGCUGGAAAGCGCUCAAGGACGAGGACAGAACCAGAAGAUCGUUCUGGACGCGGGAAUGCCACACAUCCUGGCAACCACGAGUGGGCGUGCAGCCCUCCCAGGCCAGCUGGUGAGCUCCUGGCAGGACGAGAGACGGCCCAUUAGAAGGCAAAAGAAAACACACAGGGUCACCCGAGCCCCUGCCUGUCCCUGUGGUCCAGCAGCACCGGAGCUCCAGCCACACAGGACCUUUCCUUGAGCACCUACUGUGUGCCAGGCCCUAUGUCUUGCCUCACCGUUUCGGUUCAUCCUCACAAUAACCCCAGGAGACAGGCAAUAUCACUAUGCCUGGUUCACAUCUAAGGAGGCCAAGAUCCAGAAAGACGCAGCGACUUGCGCAAACCCGGAGCUGACUUGCACAAAUGCAGAGCGGAACUGGAACCCAGGUGUCUCUGCUUUUUCCAGCCUCCCUGGCUGCCAGCGUGCUGUUCCCCACGCGUGUCCCCGGCUGUCUGGCCUCCUCGCCUUUGUCCACACUGCUCCCCCAACCCAGAAUGCUCUGGCCCUGACGGCCACUGAGCAGCAUCCUUCUGGUUCUUCAGACCCAAGUCAUGGCCUCUUCUUCCCUGAAGCCCUCCUGGAUCCCACCUCCCACCAGAACAGAGAGGCUGAUUGCUACGUUCCCAGGGCACUUGGCUUCCACUGGUAAUCAGCCUCAUUUUCAUCUGCCUUAUAGUUGCUGAUUUCCAGGACAAUCUCUUAAAUCUCAGUCUCCAGCCCCACUGCUACCACCCAGCCCCCCACACCACAACCCUGCCCUCAGGGCCUCACUCAGAGUCUUUUCCCACAGCAGGGCUUCCCGCUGUCCCUUUGGUGAACGGCGCUGGUCCGGGACCCAAGUGUAGACGGAGUAGAGGGCAGUGUAGUCUACUGGUCUCAUGAAGGAGCCCUGGCUUCUAAGCUGGAAAAGCUGGGUUUGAGACUCAGUUCUAAACUAAUUCACUGUGUGACCUGGGCUAAGGCCUCUCCUGAGGGAGACUAAGGCAGGCUCGGCUGGAGCAGGGCAUUCUGCCGCGAGUAAGAAGAGACGAAUCUGGGCGGGUCAGCUGAGGGGCCUUGAAUGCCACGACAGGAAUGUGGAGCCGCUCUGACACGCAGUGGGGAGUGGCUGCUGAUCCCUCGAGGGAAGGGACAGGAAAGUGGGGUUGGGGGCUGCUCCUCUGGCACCCAUGUGGAGGAUGAUGGAAAGAGAACUGGCCCUGAGAGACCACUCAGAGGCCUGCUCGCUGUGGGAAGCCUGGCUGUCUCGAGAUGAGGGUCUGGGCCGGCGCGUGUGGCAGCAGGAUUGAGCAGGGAGAGCUUCUGGAGACAUCUUAAAAGAAGAAUCUUCCAGAACUCAGUGAUGCUGGCAAGUGGCCAGGAGGGGACAUAGGCACAAAGCUGGCCCAGUGGUUUGAUCCUGGGUGGGGAGGCCUGGAGAGUGACGGACAGAUGAAUGCAGAGAACCGGGCUGAGCAUCCGUGAGCUGGUACCCAGGGGAGACGGAUGGUGGCGAGAGACAGGGAAAAGAAGACCUGGCUUCCGGUCUCCAUCAUGGCCCCUUACCUUGAGCAGGUCACUCGUCCUCUCUGAGGCUGUUUUGUCAUCUGUGAAAUGGGGAGAGGCAUCGUGCCUACGUGGAGGCAUCCUGAUAUGGAUGGUGUGAGGCUUCCGUGCACUAAUGGGUACCGUGCGUGUGCAAAGCCUCACAAACACUUACUGUUAUAAUGGCUAUGAGUUCACAAUCAAUUUUUAUUCCACAACGUAAUAACCACAGCCACCAUCUAUGGAUCGCACGCCACGCGCCAGACACUGUCCGAGGUGAUUUGUUUACACCCGUGAUCUGAUUUCUUCCUCACAAGAAUUCUACAAGACCCCCUGCAUUCUGUGGACAGGAACACUGAUGACCAGAGAAGUUAGGCAACUUCCCUAAGACCUCACAGCUGAUAAGUGGCACUCACCUCCAACAUGCGUUUCAGAAGCACCUCGUGGGUACCAGACACUGGCUGGAACACGAAGGGGUGUAAAACCUGGCCGGGCCCUUCAACAGCCCUCAUUGCAGCUCCCAGCCUACAGAGGAGCUGUUUGUUCUGGAAUUCCAUUCUCUCGGCUGUGAAUGCUGAUAGACAGGGAACAAAUAUCUCUUGGCUCGACUCUCUGAGAGCCGGGCCCUGGGAAGGGAUGUCAAGCCCCGAGACCAUUGUCCGGGAUCAGCCGCUGCCCCGGCCCACCGCCUUUCAUCCAUCUUCGCUGGGUGCUAUUAUUCAGCUCUGAGCCCUCCCCGGGAGCUGCGAGGCAGUUAAUUACAGAAGCAUAAUCCCCUUCUUCAAAAGAAGCUGAUCUUCCAGGGUUGUGAGAAGAUAAGAUUUAUGCCUCUUUCAAUUCCUUUAUUCUCUCAUCAACAUAGAUUCAUAUUUCAGUUCCCCGCAUCGGAAACAAAAAGGGGAGCCGCUCAGCCCACGGCUGCGGGAGAGAGAUAAAUUAGGCUGCACAAAGAGCCAGUCCUGUAAACUCCAUCUCUUUCCCUUCCUUUCAUGUUUGUGAUUAUAAACCGAGUCAAGGGCAGUUGAAAUACAUCCCUCUGCCUGCCGGUCUGCCUUGUCCUGCUCAAAGAGAAGAGACAGAUGUGGCGAGAGCAAUCCUUGUGGUACCGCGGAAAGAGGGACACAGGCCCCCCGCGGUCCGACGUCAGCCCGGCGAGCAGAUCAGAUGGAAAGGCCUUUGUCUCCUGCCAUUCUCAGGUCACAAAAUUGUUUCAAGAGGCCACGAGAGAAGCUGGACACCAGGCCACUGAGCAUCCUUUCAUUUUCUUGAUGGCAACAUGUGUGAUGCUAUUUUCUCAAAAGAAAGGGCCUUUCUAUUUGGCGGCUGAUGUGGCCUGACUGUGCCAGGGCCCCCAGCCGGGUUCAGAAGGGUGUGGACAGAGGUCACCAGCAGAUCAGACCACAGAACAAGACCACUUUUAGCGGUCCUGCGGAGCAGAUUCUGGGCUCUUUGGAGAGAAAAGGCCCCCUCACUGGGGAGAGCGGUCCCCACCGAAAUGACACGAUCCUUCUAGAGAGGAAUUGGUGGGUUAUUUCGAGGAUUGUUGUUGCUGUUCAGCUGCUUUUGUCACUUUUUUGGGCUUCUGUUGGCAUAGGAGGAAUGAGGGGACUACACAAAUGAACCGAUUUGCCUGAGGAAAGAAGGCAAGUUGGCAGAAUGGGGAAUGACAAAGUUCUGAUUGUAACACUCAAUGGGACACUUACCACAAAGUGUCAGGCCUGUGCGAGGCACCACCUCAUGUCAUCCUCAUAACAACUAGGAAGCAGCAGCAUCACGCUUGACACGGAAGGAAAUUGAGGCUUCGAGGAGGUAAGAUGCUUGCUGGGGGUGACACAGUUUGUGGCAAUUCCCGAGCUCCCGUGCUGCACGGCCACCCAAUGCCACCUCCCCUUGGUACCCCUCUCAUGCAUCCUGACUCCCCUCGGAGGCUUUUCUGCAACUUCUGAUUGGGGGAAGAGAAAGAGAAGAAACUGAAUCCACGAGCCAAGCUGGCCUCUGUAAUAAAAUGUCAUCCCCCAAGAUGUAAGACAACGGUCUUUGAUAGACUUUGAGAUUCAAUUAUACCUUUAUAUUUCCAGCAGACUCGUCAUCUCUAAAUCAUUCUUUCACUGUAAACACGCCCUAACUCACAAACAGAAUAUGAAACAAAUCAGGCUGGAAAGCCGCGUAGCUUCUGGCCUUCACUCUUCAAAGCACAUGCCUCGCUCCCAAGGGGAGAAGGUUAAGAAAGCUCUGGGCACGGUCUCCAGUUCAAGGCCCAGGGCCUGUCUCACGGAUGGUGAGGAAGUGUCCUCUGACGGGGAGGCCGAAUCAGACUUUUCCAUUCCGGAGUUUUACGGGCUUUUCUCUCCACCCCUGGCCACCCUCUCUCAAACCCUCAGAGGAAGGGUAGCAACUCCUGACUCUGGAUCAUUUCGAUUAUUUUUUCCAGAAGCCCUUCCAAGCGUGCUAUCAGAGGUGAAUGCCAGCACAGUAAAUUUUUCUAACAGCCGCCAGGAGGACGACACGCCCAGCCCAGCCCAGCCCCACUCUUCUGGGAAGCUGGGCCCGCCUAUGGAGAUUGCACCAACCUUGCCAAGAGUGAGAACCCAACCCUGCAUAGGGCCUAACUAAACUAGGUCUUCAACCUCACCCCUCAUUCCAGUCCUCUCCAGGACUCUGUCUUUCUUAUUUUAGCUUUCCUCCUUUCUUUAAGUUACAAAAGUAAUCCAUGCUCAUUGCAAUGUGUUAUUCACCAGUGUGGUAGGAAGCUACGGUUUCCUCCUUCUUCUCUAACCCGAUUCCACAUUCCUGAGUGAGCCGCAGUUGCCAACAGUCUGACACGUGUCCUUCCACAUAUUUCUUUUGGUUCAUGUAGAUAGGAAAGAUUCCCCUACCCCUAAUUUUUGCCCUGUUUACAAAUACGGGAUCAAACUAUACAUGUUUCUCUACGAGUCACUGCUUAGAAUGAACAAGUAGCGUGGACAUCUGUUCAGGUCGAUACGGAGAUGCUGGACUCAUUCUGCUUAAUAAUGUUGCAGGCAUGAGAUUACGUAGCAUGACUGACCACACCUUUCCAAACCAUCCUCUAUCCCUUGACUCUUCUGGACCUUGUGUCUCCCGAAUAUCAUGAUGUUAUAUCACGCCUGACUCCGCAUACCUAUGAAAGCCAUGGUUUCCCUCCAUUCAUAAACUGUCUAUCUUUGGCAAGGUCCUUUCCAGGCUGGCCCAGCCUUGGGAAGAGAACUCCUUACUCAUAGGCUGUUCCAAAGACUGGUCCCUGCCGAGGUGGUCCUGGCCUUACAGGCAGGACUCAGACAGACUUGCAAAAGCAGGUUUCACUGCCAUAAAAUGUGGACUUCCUCUUGGCAAUGAAAAAACCAUGAAGCAUAACUAAACCCUUACGACGUCAUAAACAGGCAUGUAAAAACCCUGUGCAUAAUUCUAGGCAUAAACCCAACACCUGCCAGAAAGACUUAAGAAACAAUCCGUGAGAACAUGAAAAGACGUUGUUUACCAAAGAAAGAUUUUUAUAAUGUGGCUGCUGCAUUUUCUUAGGGAGGGAAGAGGCCCGAAGUGGAGGCAGGCUGCACAAGAUUUCUGUGCUCGUUUAAACCGCACGCAUUUAAAACACUCAGGGUCUGAACCGUUUUGAAACUGGAAGUAAAUUCUUGGAGGCAAUCUGUUUUUCUAGAGCUCUUUUAUGGAAGUCACAUUCGAACAGUUUUAGGAAUCAGAAUGAAAUCUCACCAAACGCAUUAAGAGUUCGCAUCCUUUAGAACCGGUUAUUCCAUUUCUGGAACUCAGUCCUAAAGAAAUUAUCAGCAAUGCCAGCAAAGAGACACGUAAAAAGAUGUUUAUCCCAGCUCUACUUAUAAUUUCGAAAAACAGAAAACAAGCUAAGUGGUCUACAACAGGGAAAUGUCAUAGUCCCCAACUAUAAAAAAUGUUCACAAAAUGUUGAACGUUAAGAAUAAACGCUUAUGCGAUGAUGUUAAGUAAAAAAAAGAGAGAGAAAAUUAUAUGUGAAAACUAUAUGAAAGUAUACAUAGAAAACACUAGAAGGAAACAGACCAACAUGUUAACAGUGGUUUCUCUGGGGGGUAGAAGCAGUGUUAUUUUCUUCCACAUCUCUUUUACUUUUCUGGAAUUAAUAGAUUUUUCUACGAGGAGCCUGUAUUAUUUUUAUAGUGGAGUAAGUGAAAUCACCUUAAACUACACACGAAAGCUGGAACUGAGUCCACUUAGGCUAUUUCUAGGAUCAUGGGAUGGUGUGUCUGAGGCGGGAUGGGUGUGGAUAAGGCCAGAAAUUUUCUCUUUGGUGGGGCGUGAUGGAGAAAACCCCCUCACUCUUUGGCAUCUUGAAGAGUGUGGGCCAUAUAACAUGGCACCUUCUGCAGAACAACGAGCACACAAAGAAAGCUUAACAGCACCAAACAGAUGACGCUGUCAAUUCACUCAACAGUGAGUGAGCACGUACGUCGCACCAGGCACUGGGGGAGUGAGCACCCUUGCAUUCUAGUUUACCGAACAUAAGACUACACCUUGUCCCCAUCAUCAUAUACGACUUACAUCACGUUGACACCUUGAUUUUCCCUCUCUUGGUCUCAGAAAGGUGAACAAAAAGGAAAAUGAUCAAGCUGAGAUCUACCAUGGAUGUCGGGCAAGAACAUAUUGGAAGCAGCCCCAGGACCUUUGCCUGACUCUGCUAAGACUGUGUGUUCCACCUUAGAGCCAGCUCUGGGGAAAGAUGCCGCCAGGCAGUUAUCAAACUUAGGUUUGCAAUUUCUGCUGUCUGAGAGUUCUUGACUGAUGGGCACUCUCGGCACAAAUGUUUAUUGAAUACCUACUAUGUGUCGGUGCUGUUCUAGAAGCUGGGGGUAAUGCACUUGACCAAACAAGGUCCUUGCACUGACGGCACUUGCAUUCUAGCACAGGAAGAGGCAACAGAUAACAUGUAAACUAAUAGGAGCCCCAGGUCACGGUCACUUCCAUGGAAAAGAUCAAUAAAACACACUAAGGGAAUGGAUGACAAAAGGCUCUUUUCCUAGACAGAGAAUUAAGAAAAGUCCUCCCUGAGGAGGUGAUACUGAGCAGAGACCUGGUUGAGCGACACGAAUAUCUAGAGUAGUGUUCUACGUUGAAAGAACAGGUGCAAAGGUCCUGAGGCAGGAGUGUGGCAAGAAAACCAAUGUGCCUGGAGCACUGUGAGCAAGGAGGACAGUGGACGGAGACCAAAGUCAAGGAUGUAGCCGGGAACCAGAUCAGGCAGGGCCUGUGAGGACACGGUAAGGGCUUCAGAUUCUAUUCUAAGGGUAAUAAGAGGCCACUGGCUGGUUUUGAGAUGGAGAGUAAAGCGAUCUGAUUUAGGUUUAAAAAGAUGACUCUGACUACCAUGUAGGGGUAAGAAGGUGAACAAGAAUUCUGGCUAGAAAGCUGCUGCAGAAAUCCACUACAGAUAAUGGUGGAGACGGCCAGAAGUAGGAGAUUCAAGACAGAUUCUGAAGAUGGACUUCACACGGUGUGGGGAUAGACAGAACGUGAGGCAAGAGCCAAAAAAAUCAAAGGUGUUGAGGAAAAUUUCAAGAGAAACUGAGAAGAUGGUGGUGCUAUUUAAUGAUAUGGGGAACCUGAGGGGGUGUGGCUGUUUUGUGUUGUUUUAAGGGCAUGUAACAGACACUACUGGUGCCCAGCCCACCCCACCUCAGGCCUCUCCACAUUAACACCCACGGGUUGACUUAACCGCCAGCAUCUGCAUCUCUGCCUGAGAGCUUUCUCCCAGCUCACCUCCUGGGAGCAGCCCCAUCAGUGAUGCUCAGAAGCUGGUGUAUAAAUACCCCAGCUCCCUCCCCCGGGUGGGAUGAAACGCUGGAUAAUUCUGACAUGUGACCUCCACCACUGUUCCCCAGGGUUCACCCGCGGGAGCAAGCUCCAGCCCCCAUGGUAGUGGCUGGCUUGGUAAUAUCCUUUUCCUGCUUCUCACUCAUUCUCCCCAAUUCCCUUCUAACUCCCAAAUAAAUUACCUGCACUUGAAUCCUUGACGCUGGGUCUGGUCUGGCGGAGUCCAAAUUAACACAGGAAAACAAGAACAUCUCCCUGCUCCUUAUAGCCCACUGUCCCUCACAGCCACAGCUAUUCUCACCGUGUCGUCCUUCUCGUUGCCUCUGCCGGGACAACACUAGCAGAGUCAAGAUGAUCGGUCAUACAGGGUAGGGACAAAGCGGAGGAAUUCUAAUAAGCCAGACUGCCGAUGGGUUUCCCCAUCCUCCUCCCGGGCCUCUUAAUGACCAGUUUGCCUUUUCUUUUCCAACCACUGAGUGCAGCUACCCCAUCAAAACCAAGAAGGAAUAGAAAGAGCAAAGAUCAGAGAGCAUCCAGGGAGAUGUCAGAAGGGAGGAGGCAGGGGAAUGACGGGCCUUUCCUGUCCCCGCCUUCACUGGACAGGUCAGCAAAUGCCCUGCGACACGAAGGCCACAGACUAUCGGCAGCAGCACCAAAUGCCAUUUAUUAAGCAUUGAACUCACAUCGAAAGCCAGGGGCAGGGUGACCUGACCUGCCGUGUGCCCUAUCUCUUAGGGCAGGAAGCCCGCUUGUGUCCGCGGGAGCACUUUCUGUGUCACAAAUGAUUCAGAAUCCUCACUUUCCACUUUCCUUCUGUUGACAUGGAUUGACUGCGAGGGAGAGACGGCUGAAAAAAAAAAAACUGCACAAAGACCCUUUGGUUUGAGCAGAAAAAGCUUGCCACAAAUGACCUGCUGUCGGCGUCCAUCAGGCACGGUGUAAACACGAUCGUCCUUUCUACAGACAAGAAGACAAGGGGCACACGGUCCCGUCGGCGGCCAGGAUGCUGGAGUCUGUACGCUGUCAUCUGGAGCGUCCUGGAGGGCAGCUUCAGGCUCUGGAAUCAGGCAGGUCUGGCAUCCAGCUCCAGCUUAGAGAGUCAAGCCUCUUCCCCGGCCUCCUGUGCAGCAGCACGGGCUCGUCUCCAACACGUGUCUACGCUUCUGUAUCCUCAGCGCUUAUCGCAGUGCUUGGCGCGGAGUAGGAGAGCAGGCUUGGGGCUGUGGAAACAGCACACGCUUCUGAGUUGGACAGGCCUGGGUUCAAGUCCCAGCCCUGCCACUCGCCUCUGAGCAACUUCCUUCCUCGAGCUUCAGGACCCUUAUCUGUAAAAUGGGUAAGACGACCCAUUUUAAAGUGUCGUAUAACUGAGAUAACAGAUGUGGAGCCUGGUCCGGUGCCUGGCAAACUGCGGACACUUGAAACGUGUUCUCCUUUAUGAACAAGCAUUUGCUGAAUGAACUCGCGGAUAAAAAGCACUCCGUCCCAUUCACAACGCGUGUGCCCUCCCCGACACGUAACAGAAACGUGCCAUAUCGGCACAUUUUCCUCUCUGGGUCUCAUGAUGCGGCAGCAGUUCUCUCAUCACAGCAGAGGUUUCUCCAGCUCUGACUUCGUGCAGCAUUAUCACAAGCUCUGAUCUGUUCUUGGAACGGGCACCGAACAAAACCCACAGCUGGCCCCACCUCCAUCCCAACACACACACAGGAGGAACACUGGUUACAAAUAACGCCGAGGGUGUCUCACAGCAUCUCCCCCGGAACGUGUAUUAAUUACAAAUGGAAUUCUCCACUUUCCAGUGAAAAGCUUGACAGACACCACCUUAACCAAGUGAUCCAGGUUAUCAUUUGCAGUAAGAAUACAUAUCAGCACUGUGUGCCCCCACACAUGGUGCACGAGCACAUCGCUUCUGGGGUUUUCUUGCAGAAACCUCAAAACCCCAGUCUAACCAUGAGAAAAUAUCAGACAAAUCCAAAUCGAGGGACCAUCUACAAAAUAACUGACCAGUAUCUUCAAAAGUGUCAAAGCUGCAGGGGGCGGCCUGGUGGCGCAGUGGUUAAGUUCGUGCACUCCGCUUCAGCAGCCCGGGGUUCCCAGGUUCGGAUCCUGGGCGUGGACCUAGGUACAGUAUAUCAAGCCACACUGUGGCAGGCGUCCCACAUGUAAAGUAGGGGAAGACGGGCAUGGAUGUUAGCUCAGGGCCAGUCUUCCUCAGAAAAAAGAGGAGGAUUGGUGGCAGAUGUUCGCUCAGGGCUAAUCUUCCUCAAAAAAAAAAAAAAAAGUGUCAAGGCUGUGAAAGGCAAGGAAAUAAUGAUGGGCUGUCCCAGACUGGAGGAGACUAAGGAGACACGGAAACUAAAUGCAAUGUGGGGCCCUGGAUCAGAUCCAAACAAAGUUCACAGUUCAGUUUAAAAAAAAACGUCAAGGGCAGCCUCACAGGGGAAAAGGAUUGACAAAAGUCCAAGCAAAGGGCACAGGGAAGAGAGAGGGCUAAACCUGGGAACCUGACUGACCAGUGGGGGACGAGAAAGAUUUAUGAACGGACUGAAGUCUAAGCUCCUUUUUUUACCUUUUUUUUUAACCUGAGUACCAAAAGCAGAGUCACUCUCUCCUCUGUAUCCCUCCAGUCCAACCCAGAGUAAGAGAAUAAAUCGGAGCAGCGUUUCACAGCAGCAUAACUUGCUCCUACAUUUUCAUCCAUUUUCAAUAUAAAUAUUAGAUGACAUAAAAUGGUCAAAUGCUUUUUGGACAAAAUAUGUCAAUUAGGUGGAAUUGCCAAAUUGGGACAUAGCCUUAGGCUCAUCUAAAAAACAUGGUCCUGGCCCCUCAGGGAGGAGGGGACCCCACAUGCAGUGGGGGUGGGGGGCCGGCCUGGUGCCGCAGUGGUUAAGUUCGCGCGUUCCGUUUCAGCGGCCCGGGGUUUGUGAAUUCGGAUCCCAGGCGUGGACCUACACACUGCUCAUCAAGCCAUGCUGUGGCGGCGUCCCAUGUACAAAAUAGAGGAAGACUGGCACAGAUGUUAGCUCAGGGCCAAUCUUCCUCAAGCAGAACAAAGAGGAAGACUGGCAGUGGAUGUUAGCUCAGGGCCAAAAAACAAAGUUUGAGUUUUAAAAUUACACAGCUGUCCAAGUAAGGUUUUCACUUUCUAUUUGAGGAAAACCGGGGCCGUGGAGGGAAAGUUGCUGAGGCUCAGCCACGGGGGGUUUAACAGAAUGAUGGCAGGAUGCUGUGCUGCCUUCCCCCAGCUGGUAGCAUCCACUGCAGCCUUACUGUCCUGGCCGAGAAUGACACCAGCUCACGCGUACCAUGGCCCCACCUAGACCUCUGAAUCAGAGCCUUUUGACACGGAAGCUUCAGCAUCUCUCCAGGAAGUGUUCUGUAAGACUCAGGUAGAGAGCAAACACUCGGAGACACCGUUCUUCCGGCUGGACUGUGCGCGAGUGCCUGUGUGCGGGCGCAGGCCUGUGUUAGCUUCAGGGUUUCCAGACGUAUCUGUAGAGUUGUACGGGAUCAUUUCCAUUUUCCUUCACUGUCCCCUUGCCCCUGAGCCCAAAUGUUUCUCUUGCCUCUCUCCAUUCCGUGUCCUUGCCCACGUCUCGUGUUUUAAGGUCCACUCUAUGUGGUAUUCGGUCCCCUGAUCUUCCCCAGCCUUCCUGUUUCAUCUUGAGAUGAGGUGGUAACAGCCUUGGUGCCGACAGGAUCCAUUCGUUCACGGAAUCAUCCACUCAUGCAUUGGGACCAUGUGGGGCCCUGGGGUCACGUAGCACACAAGGCAAGAGCUUCACUUUCAUUGAGUUUACAUAUUAGCAGGGGGGGAUGGUCAAUAACCAAAGAAAGAAAGAUACAAGAAAACAGCCAUAAUGAGGAGUGUUGUGAUGAAACUGAACAAGGGUGGCGUGAUAGGGCGUAAUAAGGGGUGACUUUAGCCUGGGUGGUCAGCCAAGGAGGGACCCAUUUGAGGAGGUGACAUUUAAGCUUAGACCUAAACAUGGGAGAUCCAGCUCUGCCAACAUUUGAGGGAAGAAAGCUUCCAGGCCAAGGGAAGAAUCAGUGCAAGGGCCCUGAGGCAGGUCCAAACCUGGCAGAUGGAAGACAGACAGACAGACAGUGUGGUGCCUCAUAGUGAGUGGAGGGGAAGAGAGUGGUCCCAGAGGAAUCCAGAUCAUGUAAGGUCUUGAAGGGUUCAGCAAUUAGUGUAGAAAGACAAUGAGUGGUUCUAGAUAGAGUAAAAGAAUCUAACUUACGUUUUAACCAAUAUUUUGGCUGUUGUGUGGAGAACGGACUGGAGUGGGGAGGGUGGAAAUGGGUCACGAGAUUACAAGUGGGGGGCCCAGACUAAGAGGGUGCUGCAGUUCACAGGUGAAGGAUGACAGAGGCUGGGCUGGGGCAGUAGAGGUGAGAACAGGAGCUGGAUUUGGGGAGAAAAGCUAAUAGAACUUGUUGAAGGACAAGCUGCGGGGAAUGAGAGAAAGAGGGACCAACAUUGCUCCUGGGGUUUUGCCUUGAGCACACAGGCGAAUGGUGGCGCCACUGGAAAUAAGAACCCUAGGAGAGGAAGAGGUUGGGGCAGGAAAUGGAGUUUUAUUUUAGACAUGUUAAGUUUGAGAUAUUAGUUAAUGAAGUGACAGAAGCCCCCGUCUCAUACUUUAUAUGUAUCAUCACACAAAGGACUAUGAGAUCCCAGACGUUGACUUCCUUUUCAAUUCCUUGUUAGCCAGGAACAAAGAAUAAAACAUUCAGUCUUUCAUAAAACACUUUUAUGCUCAGAGGUUUGGUGGCGCAGCCACGUCUUUCCUGGGAGGCAUAAGUAACCCAUCAGUCACCGUGUCACACCGAGCAAUUGUUCAGGGGGCAGACUAAUUAAAAAUGUAAUCCAUGAUUUUCAUCUUAAUCUCUUUUUCCCAUUAUCUUUGAUCAAUGCUCACAAAUACGAUUUAGGAGAACUUUUCAUUUAGAUAAACGACUGAGUGGGGUACCUAAUUAGUCUGUUUGUUAUGAACCAAUUGAUAACUAAAAUUAUAUGCUAAUGAUUAAAAUCACAUGCUAGGGGCUGGCCCCGUGGCUGAGUGGUUAAGUUCGCGCACUCCGCUGCAGGCGGCCCAGUGUUUCGUUAGUUCGAAUCCUGGGCGUGGACAUGGCACUGCUCAUCAGACCACGCUGAGGCAGCGUCCCACAUGCCACAACUAGAAAAACCCACAAUGAAGAAUACACAACUAUGUACCGGGGGGCUUUGGGGAGAAAAAGGAAAAAAUAAAAUCUUUAAAAAAAAAAAAUCACACGCUAAUUUUUAAAGCAUUUUUAUUAGCACAAAAGCUAUGUUCCUGUUAUCGAACGAAAUGCCCUUUCUAUGCGACACAAAACAGUUGUUCAAACCUGCUUCUCUCGACUUUCAGAAGUCAAGCUGCAGGGUGCUGUGUAGGUGACAGGGCGGCUGAGAAACGCCUGGUCACGCUCGCUCCACACUGUAACACAAGCCACAGUGAACGCUGUGCCAACAGGAAGAUUCCAUGAACUUCCCAGCUACCUGGGGGGCUUCUGCUGCACCCCCACAAAAAACAAAACAAAACAAAAAACAGACAAACAAGAAAAGGAUCAGGCCAGAAACCACAUAAAACAACUAAGCAAAACAAUGUGGGGACAUGAGGACUGGUUUGAGGAAGGGCGAGCUCUGCAGCCUGUUCCAGUGCCAAGGUGGCCACUGACGGUUAUGGCUCUGGUCACCGGGCAAGCCAGGGGAUAUUCAUUUGAUGACCAUCUUUCCUAUCAUCUCUGGCAAAUUUUCCACUGCUUUCAAGUCCCACAGCGCCUCUUAGGAUGCCAAAAUCCUCAAGUUGCUUCAGGUACAAGAGAUCGUCAUGUUUGACCACCCGUCGACGACUCUGGUCUCCUGUAGCCUUUGCUGCCCCUUUAUCAGUGCUUCCUCCACUUGAGUUUUCACUGCCAUUUCAAUAGAAGGGUGAGAAGCGUGAAGAAUGGUGCCUGCCAUCCAUGAAAACCAAUCAAGACUUCUUCCCACGCCGGAUGUGGUCUCAGAAACAGGAGGGCAGGUUCCCAGACAGCAGGUGGGGGGAUGGGGGGCCCAGUCAAUGAAUGAACACACCUUACACGAGAACAUAAGGGUCUCAGACCGCCUAGGCCCUCCGCACACACACACUUUCCGGCGGGGAAGUCCUGGCUGCGGAGCAUCCCUGUGUCCGCCCACACGCUGCACGCGCCCCUUCCAACAGCCCAGUGACAACCGGGGGGGAGGGCAGACUCGACCUGCCUCCCGGCCACCUUCCCCCCGCGUCCCUCCCCGGGACACCCCUGCACCUGGAGCCGCCCACCCCCGGCCCCCUCUCACCGCCAAGCCGCCGGCGGCAGAGCCUCGGAGCCGCUCGCUCCGCGCCCCCCGGAGCAGAGGCGAGACUCGCGGAGAGCAAAGCAGCAGAGGAGGCAGGACGCUUAGCUUCCAAAGCG